GAUGAACGCUGGCGGCGUGCCUAAUACAUGCAAGUCGAGCGAACGGACGAGAAGCUUGCUUCUCUGAUGUUAGCGGCGGACGGGUGAGUAACAUGUGGAUAACCUACCUAUAAGACUGGGAUGACUUCGGGAAACCGGAGCUAAUACCGGAUGAUAUUUUGAACCGCAUGGUUCAAAAGUGAAAGACGGUCUUGCUGUCACUUAUAGAUGGAUCCGCGCUGCAUUAGCUAGUUGGUAAGGUAACGGCUUACCAAGGCAACGAUGCAUAGCCGACCUGAGAGGGUGAUCGGCCACACUGGAACUGAGACACGGUCCAGACUCCUACGGGAGGCAGCAGUAGGGAAUCUUCCGCAAUGGGCGAAAGCCUGACGGAGCAACGCCGCGUGAGUGAUGAAGGUCUUCGGAUCGUAAAACUCUGUUAUUAGGGAAGAACAUAUGUGUAAGUAACUGUGCACAUCUUGACGGUACCUAAUCAGAAAGCCACGGCUAACUACGUG
rnacentral:rRNA from 1 species